UAGGUACUCCCUCCGUCCGGAAAUACUUGUCGUAGAAAUGGAUAAAAUGGAUGUAUCUAUAACUAAAAUAAGUCUAGAUACAACCAUUUCGAGGACAAGUAUUUUCGGAUGGAGCGAGUAUAAA
rnacentral:pre_miRNA from 1 species